GUCGUAACAAGGUUUCUGUAGGUGAACCUGCGGAMGGAUCAUUG
rnacentral:rRNA from 1 species